rnacentral:rRNA from 1 species
CCUGGUUUGAUCCUGCCAGUAGUCAUAUGUUUGCCUCAAGGAUUAAGCCAUGCAUGUCUAAGUACAUGGUGAUCGACGACUGAAACUGCACAAAGCUCAUUAUAUCAGUAAUAAUUAAAACGAAGUUGUGUUCGUAGAUGGAUAACCAUCUAGCAAAUCUAGGGCUAAUACAUGUCAUACAAAGGCAUUCAUGAAUGCCAGCAACUCUUUGUUAGGUGGUUACUUCAACGGCACAAUCACGUUGUGUCUAGUAAUGAAUUCUAAUAAUAUCGAGAAUGCACUGUCUAGAAUAAUUCAUGCAUAGUUCAAUUAAAUUUCUGCCCUAUCAGCUUGAUGGUAGUUUAGUAGACUACCAUUGCUUUAACGGGUGACGAGGAAUUAGGGUUCGAUUUCGGAGAGGGAGCCUGAGAAACGGCUACCACAUCUAAGGAAGGCAGCAGGCGCGCAAAUUACCCAAUCAGAAUCCAUGGAGGUAGUGAAAAGAAAUAACAAUACUGGGUCGACUUAGGCUCGGUAAUUGGAAUGAGGCUAAUAUAUAACUCUAAUCGAGGAUCAAGUGGAGGGCAAGUCUGGUGCCAGCAGCCGCGGUAAUUCCAGCUCCGCUAGCGUAUAUUAAAUUUGCUGCAGUUAAAAAGCUCGUAGUUGGAUGUCUGGCAUGAUAAAUUGAACCCGCGAGAAUGAAGUGAGUGUUUGUAUGAGUCUGCCAUAGAAAUUGAUGAUGAUCUUUCAUCCCCGACAUAGCUGUUGCUUGAGGGAUCCGUGAAUUUUUUGAAUCGAUUCAUUACUUUGAACAAGUGUGAGUGCUUAAUGCAAGUGUUUGACGCUUGAAUCGAACAGCAUGGAAUAAUAACAUAGGACAAUGUUCUAUUUUGUUGGUGUAAUGAGCAUGAGUAAUGAUUAAUAGGGAUAGUUGGGGGUGCUAGUAUUCAGUGACCAGAGGUGAAAUUCUAAGACUCACUGAAGACUGCCUUAUGCGAAAGCAUUCACCAAGGAUAUCUUCAUCAAUCAAGAACGAAAGUUGGGGGAUCGAAGACGAUCAGAUACCGUCGUAGUCCCAACCAUAAACUAUGCCAACUAGAAGCUGAGAGUUUAAUAGUUGUACCAGUACCCAACGCUCACAAUUUCGUAAAGAAAUUGUAGAGUUCUCGGGUUCUGGGGGAAGUAUGGCCGCAAGACUGAAACUUAAAGGAAUUGACGGAAGGGCACCACCAGGAGUGGAGCCUGCGGCUUAAUUUGACUCAACACGGGAAACCUUACCAGGUCCAGACAUAGUGAGGAUUGACAGACUGAAGAUCUUUCAUAAUUCUAUGGGUGGUGGUGCAUGGCCGUUCUUAGUUGGUGGAAUAAUUUGUCUGGUUAAUUCCGAUAACGAACGAGACCUUGACUUACUAAAUAGUUCGAAGUAUCUUUAAUUACGAUUCAUUCGAGUAGCUUCUUAGAGGGACAGACGGUUCAUAUAGCCGGAGGAAGAGACAAGGCAAUAACAGGUCUGUGAUGCCCUUAGAUGUCCUGGGCCGCACGCGCGCUACAAUGGUCAGUUCAAAAUGAGCAUCCCACACUGAGAAGUUCGUGGGUAAUCAAAAAAACUGACCGAGCUGGGGAUUAUUGACUGCAACUUUUUAUUAUGAACGAGGAAUUCCUAGUAAACGUAAAUCAGCAACUCAUGUUGAAUACGUCCCUGCCCUUUGUACACACCGCCCGUCGCUACUACCGAUGGAGUGAUUUAGUGAGUUUUAUCGGACCAGAAAUAAGCCAAGUGUAUUGCACUCUGAUAGAAAGUUAAUCGAACUUGAGCACUUAGAGGAAGUAAA